UAUAUGAAUUGUUUUAGGAGA
rnacentral:piRNA from 1 species